AGUCGAACGGUCUUUUCGGAGAUAGUGGCGGACGGGUGAGUAACGCGUAAGAAUCUACCUUCAGGUUGGGGACAACCACUGGAAACGGUGGCUAAUACCCAAUGUGCCGAGAGGUGAAAGGCUUGCUGCCUGAAGAAGAGCUUGCGUCUGAUUAGCUAGUUGGUGGGGUAAGAGCCUACCAAGGCGACGAUCAGUAGCUGGUCUGAGAGGAUGAUCAGCCACACUGGGACUGAGACACGGCCCAGACUCCUACGGGAGGCAGCAGUGGGGAAUUUUCCGCAAUGGGCGAAAGCCUGACGGAGCAAUACCGCGUGAGGGAGGAAGGCUCUUGGGUUGUAAACCUCUUUUCUCAGGGAAGAAAAAAAUGACGGUACCUGAGGAAUAAGCAUCGGCUAACUCCGUGCCAGCAGCCGCGGUAAUACGGAGGAUGCAAGCGUUAUCCGGAAUGAUUGG
rnacentral:rRNA from 1 species